GACGAACGCUGGCGGCGUGCUUAACACAUGCAAGUCGAACGGAAAGGCCCUGCUUUUGUGGGGUGCUCGAGUGGCGAACGGGUGAGUAACACGUGAGUAACCUGCCCUUGACUUUGGGAUAACUUCAGGAAACUGGGGCUAAUACCGGAUAGGAGCUCCUGCUGCAUGGUGGUGGUUGGAAAGUUUCGGCGGUUGGGGAUGGACUCGCGGCUUAUCAGCUUGUUGGUGGGGUAGUGGCUUACCAAGGCUUUGACGGGUAGCCGGCCUGAGAGGGUGACCGGCCAAAUUGGGACUGAGAUACGGCCCAGACUGCUACGGGAGGCAGCAGUGGGGAAUAUUGCACAAUGGGCGGAAGCCUGAUGCAGCAACGCAGCGUGCGGGAUGACGGCCUUCGGGUUGUAAACCGCUUUCGACUGUGACGAAGCGUGAGUGACGGUAAUGGGUAAAGAAGCACCGGCUAACUACGUG
rnacentral:rRNA from 1 species